rnacentral:rRNA from 1 species
UACGUAGGGUGCGAGCGUUAAUCGGAAUUACUGGGCGUAAAGCGUGCGUAGGAGGUUCGUUGUGUCUGUGGUGAAAGCCCCGGGCUUAACCUGGGAAUGGCCAUGGAAACUGGCGAGCUGGAGUGUGGCAGAGGGGGGUGGAAUUCCGCGUGUAGCAGUGAAAUGCGUAGAGAUGCGGAGGAACACCGAUGGCGAAGGCAGCCCCCUGGGCUAACACUGACGCUGAGGCACGAAAGCGUGGGGAGCAAACAGG